UAUGGUUCCUUAGAUCGCACUUACUACUUGGAUAACUGUGGUAAUUCUAGAGCUAAUACAUGCGCAGAGCCCCAACCCUCGUGGAAGGGGCGCUUUUAUUAGAUCAAAGCCAAUCGAGUUUCGGCUCGUUUCUUUGGUGACUCUGAAUAACUUUACUGAUCGCAUGGUCUUGUACCGGCGACGUAUCUUUCAAGUGUCUGCCUUAUCAACUUUCGAUGGUACGUUAUGCGCCUACCAUGGUUGUAACGGGUAACGGGGAAUUAGGGUUCGAUUCCGGAGAGGGAGCCUGAGAAACGGCUACCACA
rnacentral:rRNA from 1 species